GUAGGUGGCAAGCGUUGUCCGGAAUUAUUGGGCGUAAAGCGCGCGCAGGGCGGUCCUUUAAGUCUGAUGUGAAAGUCCACGGCUCAACCGUGGAGGGUCAUUGGAAACUGGGGGACUUGAGUACAGAAGAGGAAAGCGGAAUUCCAAGUGUAGCGGUGAAAUGCGUAGAGAUUUGGAGGAACACCAGUGGCGAAGGCGGCUUUCUGGUCUGUAACUGACGCUGAGGCGCGAAAGCGUGGGGAGCAAACAGGAUUAGAUACCCUGGUAGUCCACGCCGUAAACGAUGAGUGCUAAGUGUUAGGGGGUUUCCGCCCCUUAGUGCUGCAGCUAACGCAUUAAGCACUCCGCCUGGGGAGUACGGCCGCAAGGCUG
rnacentral:rRNA from 1 species